UGGCGGUGCGCCUUAUGCAUGCAAGUCGAGCGAAGCUUUUCAGUAGUUUACUACAGAAAAUGACUGAGCGGCGAACGGGUGAGUAACGCGUGAGCAAUCUACCUUAGUUACUGGGAUAGCCCGAGGAAACUCGGAUUAAUACCGGAUAAUCUUAUUACAUCACAUGAUAUUUUAAGUAAAGGUCAGCCGAACUAAGAUGAGCUCGCGUUCUAUCAGCUUGUUGGUGGGGUAAAAGCCUACCAAGGCUACGACGGAUAGCUGGUCUGAGAGGACGAUCAGCCACACUGGGACUGAGACACGGCCCAGACUCCUACGGGAGGCUGCAGCAGGGAAUAUUGCGCAAUGAGCGAAAGCUUGACGCAGCGACACCGCGUGUGGGAUGACGGUUCUAGGAUUGUAAACCACUUUCAGGAGGGAAGAAAAUGACGGUACCUCCACAAGAAGCCCCGGCCAACUACGUGCCAGCAGCCGCGGUAAUACGUAGGGGGCGAGCGUUGUCCGGAUUUAUUGGGCGUAAAGAGCUCGUAGGCGGUUCAACAAGUCGGUCGUGAAAGUUCAGGGCUUAACCCUGAAAUGUCGAUCGAUACUGUUGUGACUAGGAUAUGGUAGAGGUGAGUGGAAUUCCGAGUGUAGCGGUGAAAUGCGUAGAUAUUCGGAGGAACACCAAUAGCGAAGGCAGCUCACUGGACCACUAUCGACGCUGAGGAGCGAAAGCUAGGGGAGCAAACAGGAUUAGAUACCCUGGUAGUCCUAGCUGUAAACGAUGGAUACUAGAUGUAGGAAUUGGAUUGACGAUUUCUGUAUCGUAGCUAACGCGUUAAGUAUCCCGCCUGGGGAGUACGG
rnacentral:rRNA from 1 species